rnacentral:rRNA from 1 species
UGUUCUUUCUGUUGGAACAAAGAGACUUCAAAUCACCUGUUCUUCACAUGUCCUGUGGCCAGGGUGGUCUGGAGGACGGUGGGGUGUGUUCUGGGUACGGACACAUGUCCGAACAAUAUUUGGCAAUACUUUUCAUGGUGCUACGUUUUCCUUCCUGAUGGAGGAAAGUUUUACACAUUUGUGCUUGCAGCCGUGUGCUGGGCUAUAUGGAAUUGCCGAAACCAAGCUAGACUCCUCUCGUUGUGA